rfam:Brassica napus, WGS project CCCW01000000 data, contig: 897
GGAAGUUAAGAAACUGUUUCUUAAUUUUUAACUAAAAAAACUAAGAACCGGUUCUUAAAUAAGGAUUUUAAGAACCGGUUCUUAGAUUUUUUAGUUAAAAGUUAAGAAACCGUUUCUUAACUUCC